rnacentral:tRNA from 1 species
ACAAUUGGUGGUUCAGUGGUAGAAUGCUCGCCUGCCACGCCUGCGGCCCGGGUUCAAUUCCCGGUCGAUGCA